GUGGAUUAGAUACCCUGGUAGUCCACGCCCUAAACGAUGUCUACUAGUUGUCGGGUUUUAAUUAACUUGGUAACGCAGCUAACGCGUGAAGUAGACCGCCUGGGGAGUACGGUCGCAAGAUUAAAACUCAAAGGAAUUGACGGGGACCCGCACAAGCGGUGGAUGAUGUGGAUUAAUUCGAUGCAACGCGAAAAACCUUACCUACCCUUGACAUGUCAGGAAUCCUGGAGAGAUCUGGGAGUGCCCGAAAGGGAGCCUGAACACAGGUGCUGCACGGCCGUCGUCAGCU
rnacentral:rRNA from 1 species